UACGAAGGUCCCAAGCGUUGUUCGGAAUUACUGGGCGUAAAGGGCUCGUAGGCGGGAUGGCAAGUCGGUCGUGAAAUCCCUCGGCUCAACUGAGGAUCGUCGAUCGAUACUGCCGUUCUUGAGGAUUGCAGAGGAGACUGGAAUUCCCGGUGUAGCGGUGAAAUGUGUAGAGAUCGGGAGGAACACCGGUGGCGAAGGCGGGUCUCUGGGCAAUUCCUGACGCUGAGGCGCGAAAGCGUGGGGAGCAAACGGG
rnacentral:rRNA from 1 species